AUUUUGUGCUCGUUGACUUCUCCCUCUUUCCUCUCGCUUCCGAUGGCGGCGCACGUGCGUCCUCCACCACUCCUGUCUUCUCCUCUCCGCCCUUCUCUGCAUCCGCACCACCUUCCAGAUGAGGGCUGCCUCAUUGAAAUCGGAGGGAAGACAAGGCCAUGUGCGUGGAUCAGUGACACACACACACACACGUAUGCGUCGCCUUGGGGAGCGUGGUAUUAUCAUUAGAAAAAUGGUGCGUAUAAUCGCGGGUUGCGAAGGUGGAAUCAAGCAACAGGGCAACAGCAACAAUGCGGAUUGUCGUGAUGAUGCUUGGCCGUUCUUCCACGGUCAUCAUCAUCACCGCCGCCUCCUCUCCUCCCCUCCUUUCGUCAUCUGGACAGCUAGACAGGCACGGACACACAUUAGCGCGCGUGUGCGAGUCUUUCUUGAAGGAAUGGCGUUGCACACAAGCCGUAAUGUGCGCCCAACUCUGGUUUUGUGUGUGGGGGUGGGUGGGUGAGGGCAAAGAAGCCAUCGCUACACCCACACCGACACACACACACACACACACACACACACACAGAUUCGAGCCGGUACAUGUGUGGUUGUGUUGGUGGUCGUCGUGAGAGCGCACCGAUGCGCUCGCCCAGCUCUUCCUCCCCCCGCAUUCCCCCCUUCGUGGAGCUCUAAC
rnacentral:misc_RNA from 1 species